rnacentral:rRNA from 1 species
UACGUAGGGGGCAAGCGUUGUCCGGAUUUAUUGGGCGUAAAGAGCGUGUAGGCGGCCUGAAAGGUCAGCUGUGAAAACUCGAGGCUCAACCUCGAGACGUCGGUUGAAACCAUCUGGCUAGAGUCCGGAAGAGGAGUGUGGAAUUCCCGGUGUAGUGGUGGAAUGCGUAGAUAUCGGGAGGAACACCAGUGGCGAAGGCGGUUGCCUGGGGCUUUGCUGACGCUGAUGCGCGAAAGCGUGGGGAGCGAUCCGG